rnacentral:rRNA from 1 species
AUAUCAAUAAGCGGAGGAAAAGAAACUAACAAGGAUUCCCCUAGUAACGGCGAGUGAAGCGGGAAGAGCUCAAGCUUAAAAUCUCUGCGCAAGUUUUGCGCGGCGAAUUGUAGUCUAUAGAGGCGUGGUCAGCGCGGGCGCUCGGGGUAAGUUCCUUGGAAGAGGACAGCAUGGAGGGUGAUACUCCCGUUUGUACCUGAGUGGCUUGUGCGUACGACCCGUGUUCUUUGAGUCGCGUUGUUUGGGAAUGCAGCGCAAAGUAGGUGGUAAAUUCCAUCUAAAGCUAAAUAUUGGUGCGAGACCGAUAGCGAACAAGUACCGUGAGGGAAAGAUGAAAAGAACUUUGAAAAGAGAGUUAAAGAGUACCUGAAACUGCUGAAAGGGAACCGAAUCGUUUCCAGUGUCUAUAAUCCGUGGCAUAUUUCAUUGGCGAGUGUGUGCGUGCGUGCGCUUUGGCAGCGGCUUUUUUGGCUGCGCUGGGUGUGUGUUGUGCGUGUGCUUGCUGGUGCCCUGUGGUGCGGUGGGACGUCAAGGUCAGUUCGUAUGCUGCGGGAAAUGGCUGCCGAGGAGGUAGGGCUUACGCUCUGCGUUUGUCUGUUAUAUCUUGGUGGACGAGUCGUCGCGGUUGGGACUGAGGUGCCUACAACGUGCUUUUGAGUCUGUGGGACUCUCUGUGUGCGUGCUGUGCGGAUAGCUUGCUAUGCGUGUGGUGCUGUGCGUGGAUUGAGACCUGCUGCAACUUGUUGCCGUUCGGGACGUUGACGAAAUGGAGCGAUCCGACCCGUCUUGAAACACGGACCAAGGAGUCUAACAUGUGU